GACAGCCCCGUACACAAAAGCGCAUGUGCUGUGAGCUCGAUGAGUAGGGCGGGACACGUGGUAUCCUGUCUGAAUAUGGGGGGACCAUCCUCCAAGGCUAAAUACUCCUGACUGACCGAUAGUGAACCAGUACCGUGAGGGAAAGGCGAAAAGAACCCCGGCGAGGGGAGUGAAAAAGAACCUGAAACCGUGUACGUACAAGCAGUGGGAGCACAGGUUUACCUGUGUGACUGCGUACCUUUUGUAUAAUGGGUCAGCGACUUAUAUUCUGUAGCAAGGUUAACCGAAUAGGGGAGCCGGAGGGAAACCGAGUCUUAAUUGGGCGUUAAGUUGCAGGGUAUAGACCCGAAACCCGGUGAUCUAGCCAUGGGCAGGUUGAAGGUUGGGUAACACUAACUGGAGGACCGAACCGACUAAUGUUGAAAAAUUAGCGGAUGACCUGUGGCUGGGGGUGAAAGGCCAAUCAAACCGGGAGAUAGCUGGUUCUCCCCGAAAGCUAUUUAGGUAGCGCCUCGUGAAUUCAUCUCCGGGGGUAGAGCACUGUUUCGGCUAGGGGGCCAUCCCGGCUUACCAACCCGAUGCAAACUGCGAAUACCGGAGAAUGUUAUCACGGGAGACACACGGCGGGUGCUAACGUCCGUCGUGAAGAGGGAAACAACCCAGACCGCCAGCUAAGGUCCCAAAGUCAUGGUUAAGUGGGAAACGAUGUGGGAAGGCCCAGACAGCCAGGAUGUUGGCUUAGAAGCAGCCAUCAUUUAAAGAAAGCGUAAUAGCUCACUGGUCGAGUCGGCCUGCGCGGAAGAUGUAACGGGGCUAAACCAUGCACCGAAGCUGCGGCAGCGACACUGUGUGUUGUUGGGUAGGGGAGCGUUCUGUAAGCCUGUGAAGGUGUGUCGUGAGGCAUGCUGGAGGUAUCAGAAGUGCGAAUGCUGACAUAAGUAACGAUAAAGCGGGUGAAAAGCCCGCUCGCCGGAAGACCAAGGGUUCCUGUCCAACGUUAAUCGGGGCAGGGUGAGUCGACCCCUAAGGCGAGGCCGAAAGGCGUAGUCGAUGGGAAACGGGUUAAUAUUCCCGUACUUGGUGUUACUGCGAAGGGGGGACGGAGAAGGCUAUGUUGGCCGGGCGACGGUUGUCCCGGUUUAAGCGUGUAGGUGUGUGUUCCAGGUAAAUCCGGUUCACUUUAACACUGAGGCGUGACGACGAGGCACUACGGUGCUGAAGCAACAAAUGCCCUGCUUCCAGGAAAAGCCUCUAAGCAUCAGGUAACAUCAAAUCGUACCCCAAACCGACACAGGUGGUCAGGUAGAGAAUACCAAGGCGCUUGAGAGAACUCGGGUGAAGGAACUAGGCAAAAUGGUGCCGUAACUUCGGGAGAAGGCACGCUGACACGUAGGUGAAGUGAUUUACUCAUGGAGCUGAAGUCAGUCGAAGAUACCAGCUGGCUGCAACUGUUUAUUAAAAACACAGCACUGUGCAAACACGAAAGUGGACGUAUACGGUGUGACGCCUGCCCGGUGCCGGAAGGUUAAUUGAUGGGGUCAGCGCAAGCGAAGCUCCUGAUCGAAGCCCCGGUAAACGGCGGCCGUAACUAUAACGGUCCUAAGGUAGCGAAAUUCCUUGUCGGGUAAGUUCCGACCUGCACGAAUGGCGUAAUGAUGGCCAGGCUGUCUCCACCCGAGACUCAGUGAAAUUGAACUCGCUGUGAAGAUGCAGUGUACCCGCGGCAAGACGGAAAGACCCCGUGAACCUUUACUAUAGCUUGACACUGAACAUUGAGCCUUGAUGUGUAGGAUAGGUGGGAGGCUUUGAAGUGUGGACGCCAGUCUGCAUGGAGCCGACCUUGAAAUACCACCCUUUAAUGUUUGAUGUUCUAACGUGGACCCGUUACCCGGGUUGCGGACAGUGUCUGGUGGGUAGUUUGACUGGGGCGGUCUCCUCCUAAAGAGUAACGGAGGAGCACGAAGGUUGGCUAAUCCUGGUCGGACAUCAGGAGGUUAGUGCAAUGGCAUAAGCCAGCUUGACUGCGAGCGUGACGGCGCGAGCAGGUGCGAAAGCAGGUCAUAGUGAUCCGGUGGUUCUGAAUGGAAGGGCCAUCGCUCAACGGAUAAAAGGUACUCCGGGGAUAACAGGCUGAUACCGCCCAAGAGUUCAUAUCGACGGCGGUGUUUGGCACCUCGAUGUCGGCUCAUCACAUCCUGGGGCUGAAGUAGGUCCCAAGGGUAUGGCUGUUCGCCAUUUAAAGUGGUACGCGAGCUGGGUUUAGAACGUCGUGAGACAGUUCGGUCCCUAUCUGCCGUGGGCGCUGGAGAACUGAGGGGGGCUGCUCCUAGUACGAGAGGACCGGAGUGGACGCAUCACUGGUGUUCGGGUUGUCAUGCCAAUGGCACUGCCCGGUAGCUAAAUGCGGAAGAGAUAAGUGCUGAAAGCAUCUAAGCACGAAACUUGCCCCGAGAUGAGUUCUCCCUGAGACUUAAAGUCUCCUGAAGGAACGUUGAAGACGACGACGUUGAUAGGCCGGGUGUGUAAGCGCAGCGAUGCGUUGAGCUAACCGGUACUAAUGAACCGUGAGGCUUAACCUUACAACGCCGAAG
rnacentral:rRNA from 1 species